ACCAAGGGUUCCUGCUUAAAGUUAAUCUGAGCAGGGUUAGCCGGCCCCUAAGACGAGGCGGACACGCGUAGUCGAUGGGAACCACGUUAAUAUUCGUGGGCUUGGUGGUAGUGACGGAUUGCUUAACUUGUUCACACUUAUUGGAUUGUGUGGGCGGGGACGCGGUUCCAGGAAAUAGCUCCACCGUACAGACCGUACCCGAAACCGACACAGGUGGUCAGGUAGAGUAUACCAAGGCGCUUGAGAGAACUAUGUUGAAGGAACUCGGCAAAUUGCACGCGUAACUUCGGAAGAAGCGUGACCCUUAUAUGCGCAAGCAUGUGAG
rnacentral:rRNA from 1 species